CAACGUGAACAAUCUGCCCUACAGACAGGCACAACCAGCCGAAAGGCUGGCUAAUUCCUGAUAUUAUGAGGGUUUGGCAUCAUUCCCUUAUGAAAGGCCCGCAAGGGUUGCUGUAGGAGGAGUUCGCGGCCUAUCAGCUAGUUGGCGGGGUAACGGCCCACCAAGGCUUUGACGGGUAGCUGGUCUGAAAGGACGGACAGCCACAAAGGCACUGAGACACGGGCCUU
rnacentral:rRNA from 1 species